CAUUGUGUUUUGCUGGUUACUGUUAAAGAAAAUUGAUGGAAAAGGAAGUUUUGGUGGUUUGAAGAAUGAGACAAGAGGUUUUAAUAAAACUGGAGUUGUAGAAUGGAAAAAAGAUAUACCUACUUUCAAAGGUACUUACACGAGGAAAAGAAUAGAAAAACUAUCAACAACUACUAUCACUCCAGAGUCUAUCCUCACUGAAAAAGACAUUGUGAAUGAUGUUUGCAACGAGUGUAAACGAUUGGAUCCAACAUUUCUUCAAUGUGACGGAAUAUGUCCAGACAUUGAGUCUAGGACAGUUAUCGCUGGAAGUUUGCUUCCUUUAGGAGAUCCACUUUGUUAUUUUUGUGAAAAUUAUCGCAUCAACAAGAAUGAUUAUAAGAAAUGCAGAGAUCGCUUUUGCUCUCAAUAGGAGUCACUAAGAUACUAGAUAAUAAUAUUGACGUAUAAUUCUUUCACAGAUUUAUGAUUAAAUUGGUUAAUUAUUUGAAAGAUUGGUUUUGUGUCUAUACAUGUAUUUUGAUUAGAGUUUGUAUCCAUAUAUCUAUAAGCAAGAGUUACCUAAAAACAACAUAUCUGGAAGGAAAUGCAAAUCGACAUCAGUUUUCAUAUGUGCUUUUUCUUUGUUGUAGAAAAAAAUUAGGAUUCAUGU